GAGUGUUAGCAGUCGUGUAUUUCAUGAGUUCUUCGUAAAAGCAUUUUAUUGGAAUUACAGUGGAUAUUAUCAUCAAAACAGCACAGAAUCAGGAAACAGACAGCAAGAUGAGUCAAAUUUGGACGAUAUGCUUCGUAUCUCCGUACACAUUCAUCGUUGCACUUGAGUAUUGUGCAAAUAGGGACUUCGAUGUGGAGGAUUGCAUCAUAGACAGAAUGGAUGCCAUAAGGUGCUAUUGCCUUCAAGAAUGUGUCGAGGUCAUAGAACACCUUAUAUACAAGGUUGGAGAAUUUUUUGUUAGAGUUGUGAAGGAAUGACGAUAUUCAGGCCCUACACGAAAAGCUUACGAGGGCUCAUUAACCUGUGGUCGGCAGCUGCAUUCGUCUUUUCACUAGUGACCUGGACAGCAAGGUUUCCAAGAUUCGAAUACGUGAGAAUACCCUCCUGGAUAACGCUAAAAUUACGGGAACUAGGAACAGUUUGCGCUCCAUAUAGCCCAAAACGAUGUGGACAUACCAUUUACGAAUUGACUAAAUUGAUAUCAUAGGAGGGUUUUUAAAACCGAAAAAGAAUAAUGAUAAUCUUAGUAUGUCACUUUGUA